UUUAUGAUAUUGUGGGCAUUGUAUUCACACUAGAGGGUAUUAGAGUUAACUAGUGGAUGAAGACGUUUUGGGCUAGCUAAUGACCUUUUGUGAUACCAGGUUUCCGAUAAUCCCGUCUAUUCAUGGCAUCCUUAGAUGGUGUUUAUGUCCACUCAAGUAAAACACCACACAAAAAUAGUGUUUCUAUGAUAUUGAGGCAUUGUAUUCGCACGAGAGGGUAUUAGAGUACAACUAGUGGAUGAAGACAUUAGUGGGCUAGCUAAUGACCUUUUGUGAUAAUAGUUAACUAUAAUCCUGUCUAUUCAUGGCAUCCUUAGAUUGUGUUUAUGUCCACUCAAGUAAAACAACACAUCAAUACCACAUCGUUCUCAAAUAAAAUAAAGACUAUGGAAAUUUAUCCAAAUUGCGUGAGUGAACUGUCAAACAUAGGUUAAGGUUGUAAGACAACUUUUUCCACCAUACAGUUGCUAAAAAGUUGGAAUACAAAGAAUUCAAACAAUAAAUCACCUUUUAACCUCAAAUGACGUUUCUAUGAUAUUGUGGGCAUUGUAUUCACACAGAGGGUAUUAGGUACAACUAGUGGAUGAAGACGUUAUUGGGCUAGCUAUGACCUUUUGUGUACCUGGUUUCCAUAUCCCGUCUAUUCAUGGCACCUUAUGGUGUUUAUUCCACUCAAGUAAAACACACACAAAAAUAGUGUUUCUAUGAUAUUGAGGGCAUUGUAUUCGCAAGAGAGGGUAUUAGAGUACAACUAGUGGAUGAAGACGUUAUUGGGCUAGCCAAUGACUUUUGUGAUAACAGGUUUCCACCAUACAGAUGCUAAAAAGUUGGAAUCAAAGAAUUCAAACCAAUAGAUCACCUUUUAAACCUCAAAUGACGUUUCUAUGAUAUUGUGGGCAUUGUAUUCACACUAGAGGGUAUUAGAGUACAACUAGUGGAUGAAGACGUUAUUGGACUAGCUAAUGACCUUUUGUGAUACCUGGUUUCCAAUAAUCCCGUCUAUUCAUGGCAUCCAUAGACGGUGUUUUGUCCACUCAAGUAAAACCCACAUCAAUUUGCCACAUCAUUUCUCAAAAUAAAUAAAGACUAUGGAAAUUUAGCUAAAUUUCGUGAGUGAACUGUCCAAACAUAGGUUAAGGUUAUAAGGCACCUUUUUCCACCAUACAGUUGAUAAAAAGUUGUAAUAUAAAGAAUUCAAAACAAUAGGUCACCUUUUAAACCUCAAAUGACGUUUCUAUGAUAUUGUGGGCAUUGUAUUCACACUAGAGGGUAUUAGAGUACAACUAGUGGAUGAAGACGUUAUUGGGCUAGCUAAUGACCUUUUGUGAUACUGGUUUCCAAUAAUCCCGUCUAUUCAUGGCAUCCUUAGAUGGUGCUUAAGUCCACUCAAGUAAAACCACACAAAAAUAGUGUUUCUAUGAUAUUGAGGGCAUUGUAUUCGCACGAGAGGGUAUUAGAGUACAACUAGUGGAUGAAGACAUUAGUGGGCUAGCUAAUGACCUUUUGUGAUAAUAUGUUCACUAUAAUCCCGUCUAUUCAUGGCAUCCUUAGAUUGUGUUUAUGUCCACUCAAGUAAAACACCACACAUCAAUAUACCACAUCGUUU
rnacentral:lncRNA from 1 species